rnacentral:tRNA from 1 species
AGCCCUGUGGCUCAGUUGGUAGAGCAUGGUGAUUGCAACGCCAGCUUGGUGUGUGCAACGCCAGGGUUGUGGGUUCGAUUCCCACGAGGGGCCA